rnacentral:rRNA from 1 species
UACGAAGGGGGCUAGCGUUGCUCGGAAUCACUGGGCGUAAAGGGUGCGUAGGCGGGUCUUUAAGUCAGGGGUGAAAUCCUGGAGCUCAACUCCAGAACUGUCUCUGAUACUGAGGAUCUUGAGUACGGGAGAGGUGAGUGGAACUGCGAGUGUAGAGGUGAAAUUCGUAGAUAUUCGCAAGAACACCAGUGGCGAAGGCGGCUCACUGGCCCGUUACUGACGCUGAGGCACGAAAGCGUGAGGAGCAAACAGG